rnacentral:tRNA from 1 species
GCCUUCGUAGUGUAGUAGUCAGCAUGCUUGACCCGUAACCGAGACGUGCGUGGUUCGAUUCCCGCCAAAGGCG